AAUCAACGCUGGCGGCGUGCCUCAGACAUGCAAGUCGAACGAUUAAAGCUCUCUUCGGAGAGUGCAUAGAGUGGCGCACGGGUGAGUAACACGUAAGUAAUCUACCCUCGAGUGGGGAAUAACGUCCGGAAACGGGCGCUAAUACCGCAUAAUGCAGCGGCAUCACAAGAUGACAGUUGUUAAAGAUUUAUCGCUUGAGGAGGAGCUUGCGGCAGAUUAGCUAGUUGGUAAGGUAACGGCUUACCAAGGCUACGAUCUGUAACCGGUCUUAGAGGACGGUCGGUCACACUGACACUGAAUAACGGGUCAGACUCCUACGGGAGGCAGCAGUCGGGAAUUUUGGGCAAUGGGCGAAAGCCUGACCCAGCAACGCCGCGUGAAGGAUGAAGUAUUUCGGUAUGUAAACUUCGAAAGAAUAGGAAGAAUUAAUGACGGUACUAUUUAUAAGGUCCGGCUAACUACGUGCCAGCCGCCGCGGUAA
rnacentral:rRNA from 1 species